GCUCAACCGGGGAGGGUCAUUGGAAACUGGGGAACUUGAGUGCAGAAGAGGAGAGUGGAAUUCCACGUGUAGCGGUGAAAUGCGUAGAGAUGUGGAGGAACACCAGUGGCGAAGGCGACUCUCUGGUCUGUAACUGACGCUGAGGCGCGAAAGCGUGGGGAGCGAACAGGACUAGAUACCCUGGUAGUCCACGCCGUAAACGAUGGGUGCUAAGUGUUAGAGGGUUUCCGCCCUUUAGUGCUGCAGCAAACGCAUUAAGCACUCCGCCUGGGGAGUACGGUCGCAAGACUGAAACUCAAAGGAAUUGACGGGGGCCCGCACAAGCGGUGGAGCAUGUGGUUUAAUUCGAAGCAACGCGAAGAACCUUACCAGGUCUUGACGUCCUCUGACAACCCUAGAGAUAGGGCUUCCCCUUCGGGGGCAGAGUGACAGGUGGUGCAUGGUUGUCGUCAGCUCGUGUCGUGAGAUGUUGGGUUAAGUCCCGCAACGAGCGCAACCCUUGAUCUUAGUUGCCAGCAUUCAGUUGGGCACUCUAAGGUGACUGCCGGUGACAAACCGGAGGAAGGUGGGGAUGACGUCAAAUCAUCAUGCCCCUUAUGACCUGGGCUACACACGUGCUACAAUGGGCAGAACAAAG
rnacentral:rRNA from 1 species